rnacentral:lncRNA from 1 species
GUGUUUUUGGAGAUGAUCAUUUCUCAUUUUUUUUCUUUUGAAAGAAAAGUCUAACUGUCUGAAGAACCAGUGGGAAUGGAGAAUUGGGCUGUGAGAAGGAGGAGGCAAUGGGGUGAUGUCCUUGUUUGGGGAGGAGACAGAUCUGACUGGGCUCUUGACUUGACUCUGCCUGUGAGAUUGACAGACCUUUGGCCAUUCAGAGGACCCAAGGGGCUUUGAAGGAUUGGAAGAGCUUUCUCAAAAGCAGCAAAAGGCAAAGAGACCUACAGGUUUGUGACAGUGGCCCCUCCCCUGCUCUCCCAUCUCCGGAACCCUGUGUGGGUGUGGCCCAAAUAGGAGCAGAAG